rnacentral:rRNA from 1 species
UACGUAGGGGGCGAGCGUUAUCCGGAAUCAUUGGGCGUAAAGGGUGCGUAGGCGGCCCUAUGGGUCAGAGGUUAAAGGCUACGGCUUAACCGUAGUAAGCCUUUGAAACUGUAGGGCUUGAGUGCAGGAGAGGAGAGUGGAAUUCCUAGUGUAGCGGUGAAAUGCGUAGAUAUUAGGAGGAACACCAGUGGCGAAGGCGACUCUCUGGACUGUAACUGACGCUGAGGCACGAAAGCGUGGGGAGCAAACAGG